rnacentral:rRNA from 1 species
UACGUAGGCAGCGAGCGUUGUUCGGAGUUACUGGGUGUAAAGAGUGCGUAGGCGGUUUUUUAAGUUUGGUGUGAAAUCUCCCGGCUUAACUGGGAGGGUGCGCCGAAGACUGGAAGGCUUGAGUAUGGGAGAGGUAAGCGGAAUUCCUGGUGUAGCGGUGAAAUGCGUAGAUAUCAGGAGGAACACCUGCGGUGUAGACGGCUUACUGGACCAUCACUGACGCUGAGGCACGAAAGCGUGGGUAGCAAACAGG